CCCCGGGAGGGAAGGCGGAUUACCGCCUCCUCGGCCGGUGGACGGAGGGAGCGUGUCCCCGGCGGCGGCCCUGGGCCACGCUUACGCCAUGCUGGAAUUUCAGCCCUCGCCGCUCUCGGGGUGCUUGGGGAAGCAGCCCUCGUCCGUGCUCAGGCCCCCGCCCGCCGACCAGGGCUUGUCCCCGGGCCCCGGAGUGGGGCGGUUGAGGAUGGGAAAGCAGCGUGAGGGGAGAGUUUGGAAAAAUCCGGGGACCGCCCGGGAGAAGGGGGAAGUUAUUCUUCCUCUCCCCGAGGGGUGUGUCUUCCUUACGGAUUCUCCCUGCCCUCUUUGGUUAUCCAGCAAGGAGAUUUUUGGCUUCGGGGACCUCGGCAGAAAACCUAACCUGCAGCCUAGAGAAGUCGUACGUUGCAAGCUAGGUUUGUUCUGAAACAGUUAAAAAGAGAAAGCAAGGUGGAUAGAAGUGUUUCCAAGAUGAAAACAUAUACUGAGAAAGAGGGAGGUAAGUGUGUGUGUGUGUGUGUGUGUAGAGAUCUCAUGUU
rnacentral:lncRNA from 1 species